AGAGUUUGAUCCUGGCUCAGGAUGAACGCUAGCUACAGGCUUAACACAUGCAAGUCGCGGGGCAGCAUGGGGUUGCUUGCAAUCCCGAUGGCGACCGGCGCACGGGUGAGUAACGCGUAUCCAACCUGCCCUUCACCACGGGAUAACCCGGCGAAAGUCGGACUAAUACCGUAUGUUGUCCAUUGACGGCAUCCGAUUUGGACGAAAGGUUUGGCGGUGAGGGAUGGGGAUGCGUCCGAUUAGCUUGACGGCGGGGUAACGGCCCACCGUGGCUACGAUCGGUAGGGGUUCUGAGAGGAAGGUCCCCCACACUGGAACUGAGACACGGUCCAGACUCCUACGGGAGGCAGCAGUGAGGAAUAUUGGUCAAUGGGCGUAAGCCUGAACCAGCCAAGUAGCGUGCAGGAUGACGGCCCUAUGGGUUGUAAACUGCUUUUAUGCGGGGAUAAAGUGGCCCACGUGUGGGUUUUUGCAGGUACCGCAUGAAUAAGGACCGGCUAAUUCCGUG
rnacentral:rRNA from 1 species